GGAGUAAUUUCUCCUAAACAAAUCAUCUUUCAGGAAAAACGGAGCAUUUGCUAUCGAACUGAGAGUCUCCUCAUUGAAAACAUCUGAAGUUCUUCAAAGAGGUGAUGACUACUCCACUCCACUACCAUUGUCAACUCUCUCCUUACAUGAACUGAAGCCAUGUCUCAUGUACCUGCUCAUCCACUGGCACAUUGAAUUCAAAUCCUGUCCUGCCCUCAGUGGAAGUUGAGCUCUUCCUCAACACCAUCCAUCCAUGAUGAGCCUGUCCUGCACUGAAGCCAAUGAACACCUCAAACCCGGUCCUGCAUUGAAGUCAAGCCUGUGAACACCUCAACUCAUGCCUCAUACCCUCAUUCAAUCACUGCUGUAAUCCCUUCCCAACACUGUGUUCUGUCCAGAAGCAGUGUCUUCAGUCCCCGAAACAAGUACAGAUUGACAGGAUAAAGUGUCACUGGCCGAUCCUGACAAAGUUUAUACAGCCAUACCGGCAGCAGGCAACAAGCCUGCAGGCGGCAUCCGCACGUGCACACACACAC
ensembl:lncRNA